GCAGUGGUGGUUCAGUGGUAGAAUUCUUGCCUUCUAUGUAGGAGACCAGGGUUCGAUUCCCAACCAAUGCA
rnacentral:tRNA from 1 species